ensembl:lncRNA
AGAGAGAGGAACGAGCACAACUGAGAGUUCUGACGCGCGGGCUCCUGUCUCCUAGGACAGGACAGGGUAUAACACACAAACGGCACAAACGAAGAUCAAGGACAAGAUUUCCCAGACAUCCUCCUCCAGGACGUGACUGAAUGGAGUUGUACUUCCUUUAUUUUUCCCCCCCCCAGCUCGUUAUUGAGUACGGCGACACAGAAGAAGAAGAAGCAGAAGAAGAAGAAGAAGAAGAAGAAGAAGAAGAGAGGGAACAUCUGUUGUCAAUUGAAAUGCUUCUCACAUGUCAAUCCAUACCCCGUCUGGACUCCGCCGGGUACGCUGCUGGAGUACGCAGGGGGACGAGAUGAGACGCUCGGGUUCUGACUGCUCAGACUGUUUUACGGUGCCCGAAGACGGCAGAACACAGCGUGUUGCGCGGAGCAGCCAUGGAGCAUCUCCGUUUAGCCGGCAUGGUCUCCGAAUGAGCUGCGCUGGGCUGCAACAGAAAGGACAGAGGAUCUCAUGGAAAUGCGUGUCGCUCUUUGCCGAGACCCUUGCGUGCAUCGGCGAGACGACGCGUCACGCGUCUUUUCAACUUUCCCCUCUCUCUCCUGCUCGUGAGGAAAACCGUCUGCUGAUUCUCCGACGAGCCAGCCCGGUCUCUCUCCAUUCUUCCCUCAUCCAAGCACGUCACACGAUACGCAAAACGCCCUUCUGCAACUACAAAAAGGACCCUGAAAGGGAUGACCCCUGGACACGCACGCACACAAGAGAGAAUUUCCUCUGAGCUCGAGGGACGAUGACCAGGAUUUGCGAAGGUCAAAGCGGUUGGGAGGUCAAACGCGAAAUGACUUGUGCUUGAUUUACACGCCGUGUAAAGGCCUGGUGGAGAUUGGUGAAGAGUGAGACUGAUGAGACACUUUGAUAGCAUCGGCCUGCUCUUCUCAUCGUGGUUCCCAAGGGGGGACAUGGGCCCUGCGUCCUGCCAGGAUAAUCUCACAUGUCUUGGGCUGAUACUGGACCAAAACAAUAUUUAUCUGCGGUGUCAAUCUUCCUUGGAUAACUAACUGACUUGGCUCUUGGUUUGGAGUACACACUAAUGGAUGCAGGUGGAUUUCCUUAAAAAUCCACCAAAAAAAAGAAAGAAGAAGAAUAAAAGACUGCUUUCCGACCAGGGGCGACAGUCGGACUUCCAAAACACAGAUUUGGAUUGUACGACGCAUUUGUGUGCGUUUGGAUUCCACCCGUGCUGAAGCGGAAAAGGGGGUGCUUGUGUCUCUUUAGUCCUGCAUGUUGGCCGUGUAUCUCGCCUGCCUGGGAAUACCACGGGUUUAUAAACAGGAGAUAGCGGAGACGGUUUAUCCCCAAUCCACUCAUCUGUCAACGCUCCCAGCGUCGCCAAAACAAACACAUCCGUACGGAGAGCGGGAGAGGGG